UGGUUCAAAGGAUAGAGGAGGAGAAGAUAACUGGGCCACAGUUAAACUUUUUCCCAUAAAAGAAUUAAAAUAUUUAAAUAAUGGACAAAUGCCCUAAGUUAUUUUGCUUUUUUAUUUUUGUGCUUUUAGUGGACUGUCACCUUUAUUUACACGUAGCUGAUUCUGCACCCAUAAAACUCCAUGGAUUGCCAAAUGAAUCAAAUGAAAACAACGAAGCAUAUCAACACAAUGAAUAUCCAUCAAAAUAUUCAGGUAUGACGAAAAACAAGAGUACCACCUCCAAGAUGAAAAUCGAGCAAGACAAUGAUAUAGCAUAUGCUAUACCUAAAA